GGAAACUUCUGCCUAGGCACCGCCAUGGGGUUUGGAAGAAUUUGCACCAUUUGGUCGAUUCACUGAGUAUUUGCCAUGAGAUUUUCCUGUGAAAAAUGCGUGGUUUCUGAAAGAAAUUGCAGGCCGUCAAAAAGCAUUCACAUUUUGUAGGUUAGAAAGGGCAUUUUCUGGAAAUGCCUUGCAAAGUUUUACACCAUUAAUGGCCACUUCAGGAGCACUGAAGACCUGGGAAGCAAGGAGGAGCAGGACAACACCGGCAAAUUUAUGGAUCAGCCAACAAGCGCCAGUCAUUCAGGCAAUGACUGGUCACCCUCUAGACACGCA